rnacentral:rRNA from 1 species
UACGUAGGGCGCAAGCGUUGUCCGGAAUUAUUGGGCGUAAAGAGCUCGUAGGCGGCUUGUCACGUCGGGUGUGAAAGCCCGGGGCUUAACCCCGGGUCUGCAUUCGAUACGGGCUAGCUAGAGUGUGGUAGGGGAGAUCGGAAUUCCUGGUGUAGCGGUGAAACGCGCAGAUAUCAGGAGGAACACCGGUGGCGAAGGCGGAUCUCUGGGCCAUUACUGACGCUGAGGAGCGAAAGCGUGGGGAGCGAACAGG